rnacentral:rRNA from 1 species
CAGCACCUCAAGUGGUCAGGAUGAUUAUUGGGCCUAAAGCAUCGGUAGCCGGCUCUGUAAGUUUUCGGUUAAAUCUGUACGCUCAACGUACAGGCUGCCGGGAAUACUGCAGAGCUAGGGAGUGGGAGAGGUAGACGGUACUCGGUAGGAAGGGGUAAAAUCCUUUGAUCUAUUGAUGACCACCUGUGGCGAAGGCGGUCUACCAGAACACGUCCGACGGUGAGGGAUGAAAGCUGGGGGAGCAAACUGGAUUAGAUACCCGAGUAGUCC